rnacentral:misc_RNA from 1 species
CUUGAAAGCACUAUAUUUACAAGGCUCCUAUCACUUAGGAAAAUCCAAAAUAUCCUCCAUGUGGCCAUGUAUGUUCUUCUAAUCUUCUCAUGUUCUUUUCUACUUCUCCCUCUCCACUCCAAAUUACUUUUUCCCACUAUGCUUGCCUUUCUCUGGACUUUCUUGGCAACCAAAGAUAGCCUCAGUCUCUUGAGGAGUAAUUAUUCAACAGAUCAAGUAAUUUCUCCUCAGGCAGCAGAAGGAGAAGAAUCCCCUUUGAAGAUAAGGAAAUUGAGAGUCUCCAAUGUGAAGUAGAUGAAAGACCCUUUAGAAUGAGUGAAAAAACACCCAAAAGAAGAACCCACCACACAUUGCCAUCCACCGCCAUAUUUCUUGUCAAACUCCUUUUUCAUGUGGGCAGCAAUAGAUUUGUAGUCUAAGACAUCAUAGAGAUCCAAGGCCUCAGAAGC